UACGAAGGGGGCUAGCGUUGCUCGGAAUCACUGGGCGUAAAGCGCACGUAGGCGGCUUGUUAAGUCAGGGGUGAAUUCCUGGAGCUCAACUCCAGAACUGCCUUUGAUACUGGCGAGCUUGAGUUCGGGAGAGGUGAGUGGAACUGCGAGUGUAGAGGUGAAAUUCGUAGAUAUUCGCAAGAACACCAGUGGCGAAGGCGGCUCACUGGCCCGAUACUGACGCUGAGGUGCGAAAGCGUGGGGAGCAAACAGG
rnacentral:rRNA from 1 species